GCAAGUGUGCCCUUGCUUGUAAUGUCUUUAAAAGUGGCUGACAUUUUGACUGUAUCCUGUAGUUAGGAGGACACCUGAGAAAAAGCGAGACAGGGAAAAAAAAUCAGUCAUUGGUGAAAAUGGGUUAAUCGUGCCAUUCAGGAGAUCGGAUAAGUGAUUUGUAUCACAGGGACAGACUUUUCAAAGGGGUCGGCUGGAGAUUAAAAAGCUGGUGGUUAGCGUCUGUGCUGUGGUCCAACCAGGCUGCUUCGGGUUUUUGUGAUUACCAUAACACAAUAGUAAAAUACACAAUGGUGUCUCUGCAUUAAGGACAAGUGGGGCACUAAUCCUGGCUUAACUUCCUCCCACCAGUUGACUGCUUGCUCCCUUAUGCUCAAGACUCUGAGUCAUUCGCCUUGAGGCAACUUUAAACCAAGGUUGGUGUCAUUUUUGGCCAAGCCCCUAAUGAUUUUUACAAUAAGAGAGUGAAAAAGCCUGAAGGCUAUGUCAAGAACUAUGACCAGGAUCUGGAAAAAAAAUAGAAGGGCAACUGGUAGAGCUCAAAGUACUACUAAGUCAAAAGAAAAACUGAUUAUCAGAACCCAAAAACAUUCAGCAAAAGUUGAGAAGAGCAAGCAAGAAGUUCUAAACCUAGCUGUCAGUCUUUUCUAAAUAACUGCCAACCAAAGAAGUUGUUAGGGUUUUGCUUUCUCUUUUUGUUUUUAUGUGUUUUUUUUCCCAUGGAUUUCUAGGGUGUUUUGUGUCUCCUGAAUAUUAAUUAAACAUUUAUAUUUAGAAAAUCCAAUCACUUAAAGAGUCAUCAAGUUUUCUGGAGCAUUUUGUCUGUCAUUUUGCAAACCUUGUUUGGUUUCCUUCAUUAGAACCACCUCACAAGUUAUGAGGGAGUCUUCCACAGAGGUUGCGACCCUUGGGUAUGAAGCGACGGGAUAAAAGGUCCUGGCAUUCACUUCCUUAUUAGAGUUGCAGCUUCAAAACCCUUUUUCAAAUUGCUUUUUUUAAAAAGUUCCUUAGUCUUAAAGUUUCCUGGUUCGGACUUUUGUGUUAUCUCUCAUGUUGGCUUUGCCGCUUAUAUUUUUCAUUUCCUGAUUUUGACUUGUUUCCUAUUAACACUUCUAUUUCCUUGGUACUUUCACAAAUUUUAUCAGUUCGCUGGCAUAAAUGAAGAGUUUUUGGAGUGUUUUUAUUCAGCCACUUAGAACCCUUAAAACCUAUCUAUGCAACCAUCUUAAUUACUUAAUUAAUGUAACAAUGUCAUGCAAAGUAAUAUUGGUCCCAUGUGACCAGCAAUGGACACUAUAGUCAUAGUCAUAAACAAUAUAAAAAUGACAAAACAAAAUAGCUCUGUGAAGUCCCUACCCUAAUGACAAAUAUUAAUAACAAGAAGUGCAAAAAUAAGACAGAUGAAACCAUCUCAAAUUAAUUCUAUACAGUAUGCUUAAAAAAAAGAUUCAUUACAAAUCCAUGAAAUCACUACUGAGGUCAUUGUGGUCCUACAUUUGCUCCAUGGACUCCAGCCCAGAACUCCCUAUAGUAUCUUGGUGCUCCUGUAUCUCUUGAGACUUCUGUUGCUCAUAAAGCAUUGAAUCUACAGAGAAGCCCAUCAAUAAUUUCUUCUAACAGAGGAAUAUCACAGUUCCAUAUCCCUUAGGAACUGUACUCCUUGUGUCAAGGAUAUAUGUUUAAAAAUACUGUUUGUCUUUGUAAAUAAUACAUUUUACCAUAAUUCUGGUGACAUUUUGUUGCUAUUUUGUGCUUUUAUUUUUUGUGGGUUCUACCUUUUUGUGUGUUUUCCUUGAUGGACUCCACUAUUUUAGAGCUUUAUGUAAUUAUGUGUCAUAUUUCAGUUAGGAUUCUCUCAGGAGUUCAAAUGCCAUUUUACGACUAUUUUGUUCAUUUUUGAUUCCUUCUGUCACACACGCGUAAAUGGGAGGCAGCUAAAGGGCCUGAAUGAGAGUA